rnacentral:ncRNA from 2 species
ACGAAACACUAGGGGUAGCCAUAUUGGCUUGAGAUGGAACAAUUGAAUUUCCGAACCCUUUGAACCUGAUCUGGUUUAUACCAGCGGAGGGAAGUGGCUAGCUAUUUUG